rnacentral:tRNA from 1 species
GGGGAUUUAGCUCAGCGGCAUAAGCGCCUGCCUUGCAAGCAGGAAGUCAUGAGUUCAAUCCCUG